UUCGGCUGCUCUUGCAUUCUUCAAACCCUAAUCUUCUUCAUCUUCAACCCCCCAAAAGCGCAAACCUGGUGAAAACCAAACCCCGCAAGACCAAAAUUCAAACACUCAUCUUCCUUCGUUCACCUUCUCACUCUCUCUCGCAAACAAGAAAGAGGACUCAAACCGUAUACACAAAUCUCAGAAAACCAGAUCUGAGUCUUUUACAUUCAAAUCUUAUGGGUUUGCGUUCAGAUCUGACUGCUUCUACAGUUUCACGUUUCAUCUGACUGCUUCUACAGUCUGCUUUGUGGUAGCAGUUGGUGAAGACAGAAAGUGUGGCUCUUCUUUUUUGUAUGGAGCCUUGCAAUAAUCUGGAUUUCUUGAAAGACAUGGAAUGGGAUCUGGGGUAUUGGUGUCCACUUAUUGAUAAUAUAUGUUUCUUGCAGUAGCUUUGUAAGCUUUAAGAUAUUAGGUAUAUCUUACAAUCAGAUCACCGGUGAAUCCCAUACAAUAUUGGGUCUCUCCAAGAUCAUUUGCUGAAUGAGGUUAUUUUCUGAAUUAGACACUGUCGUUUUGCUUUCAUAUAAAAAUAUCAGUGCUUCGUUAUAACUAAAUCAUUUUGUAUUCAG